rnacentral:misc_RNA from 1 species
GUGAAUCAUCGAAUUUUUGAACGCAAAUUGCACUCUCCUCGGAGAGUAUGCCUGUUUGAGGGUCAGCCUAUAAAAAAUCGACAUCGUUGCUGUUUUGCGGUGGCGUUCGUCGGAAAUUGGGUAACUUUAAAUCCUUUUGGUUUUUAUGAGACUUAAAAUUUACUUUUUGGUUCAAUGUUCGUAUCUAAGUUUUAUUUCUUUACACGAUUAAGGUAU